GAUGAACGCUGGCGGCGUGCCUAAUACAUGCCAGUCGAGCGAACGGACGAGAAGCUUGCUUCUCUGAUGUUAGCGGCGGACGGGUGAGUAACACGUGGAUAACCUACCUAUAAGACUGGGAUAACUUCGGGAAACCGGAGCUAAUACCGGAUAAUAUUUUGAACCGCAUGGUUCAAAAGUGAAAGACGGUCUUGCUGUCACUUAUAGAUGGAUCCGCGCUGCAUUAGCUAGUUGGUAAGGUAACGGCCUACCAAGGCAACGAUGCAUAGCCGACCUGAGAGGGUGAUCGGCCACACUGGAACUGAGACACGGUCCAGACUCCUACGGGAGGCAGCAGUAGGGAAUCUUCCGCAAUGGGCGAAAGCCUGACGGAGCAACGCCGCGCGAGUGAUGAAGGUCUUCGGAUCGUAAAACUCUGUUAUUAGGGAAGAACAUAUGUGUAAGUAACUGUGCACAUCUUGACGGUACCUAAUCAGAAAGCCACGGCUAACUACGUG
rnacentral:rRNA from 1 species